rnacentral:tRNA from 1 species
UCCCCCGUAGCUCAGUGCAGAGCAUCGCCCUGUGGGGGCGAAGGUGUUGGUUCGACUCCAACCGGGGGAGCCA